rnacentral:rRNA from 1 species
ACACGUGCUACAAUGGUCGGUACAGAGGGUUGCCAUACCGCAAGGUGGAGCGAACCCCAAAAAGCCGGUCUCAGUUCGGAUUGGAGUCUGCAACUCGACUCCAUGAAGUUGGAAUCGCUAGUAAUCGCGGAUCAGCAUGCCGCGGUGAAUACGUUCCCGGGCCUU